AUUGAACGCUGGCGGCAGGCCUAAAACAUGCAAGUCGAGCGAGCGGCGGACGGGUGAGUAAUGUAUGGGGACUGCCUGAUGGCGGGGGAUAACUACUGGAAACGGUAGCUAAUACCGCAUACUAUCGGAUAACCCAUAUGGGAUUAGCUAGUGGGUGAGGUAAAGGCUCAACUAGGCGAAGAUCCCUAGCUGAUCUGAGAGGAUGAUCAGCCACACUGGGACUGAGACACGGCCCAGACUCCUACGGAGGCAGCAGUGGGGAAUAUUGCACAAUGGACGAAAGCCUGAUGCAGCAAGGCCGCGUGUAUGAAGAAGGCCCUAGGGUUGUAAAGUACUGUCGGUAGGGAGGCGUUACCGACAGAGGAAGCACCGGCUAACUACGUGCCAGCAGCCGCGGUAAUUC
rnacentral:rRNA from 1 species